CCUACGGGAGGCAGCAGUGAGGAAUAUUGGUCAAUGGACGCAAGUCUGAACCAGCCAUGCCGCGUGCAGGAAGACGGCUCUAUGAGUUGUAAACUGCUUUUGUACGAGGGUAAACGCAGAUACGUGUAUCUGCCUGAAAGUAUCGUACGAAUAAGGAUCGGCUAACUCCGUGCCAGCAGCCGCGGUAAUACGGAGGAUUCAAGCGUUUUCCGGAUGUAUUGGGUUUAAAGGGUGCGUAGGCGGUCGGUUAAGUUAGAGGUGAAAUCCCGAGGCUCAACUGCGGAAUUGCAUCUGAUACUGGGAGGCUAGAGAGUAGUAGAGGUAGGCGGAAUGUAAGGUGUAGCGGUGAAAUGCUUAGAGAUCAGACAGAACACCGAUUGCGAAGGCAGCUUACCGGGCUACUUCUGACGUUGAGGCACGAAAGCGUGGGGAGCAAACAGGAUUAGAUACCCGAGUAGUC
rnacentral:rRNA from 1 species